AGGCACCUCAGCAGUUUGUCAGGAUCCAUGGAGAGGAGCCUGGAAAUUGUGCUGGGGCUGCUGUGGGUGAGGCUUUUCUGGGUGAGAGGAGACGAGGUGGAGCAGAGUCCUUCAGUCCUGAAUCUCCACGAGGGAACCAGUUCUGCUCUGAGAUGCAAUUUUUCUACCACCAUGAGGACUGUGCAGUGGUUCCGACAGAAUCCCAGGGGCAGCCUCAUCAAUCUUUUUUACCUGGUCCCAGGAACAAAGGAGAAUGGGAGGUUAAAAUCAACAUUUGAUUCUAAGGAGCAAUACAGCACCCUGCACAUCAGGGAUGCCCAGCUGGAGGACUCAGGCACCUACCUCUGUGCAGGGCAGGCACAGUGCUCCCAGCAAGCCUGCAGCCUGGCCCCAAACUAUUCUCAUUCUCUGGAACAAAUUCUUAUGAAGACUAUUAGGACAACUGAGAAAGAUGACAAAGUUCAAAGUACUGUCAUGUCCGUUGGCACAGUGUUAACUGCUCUUUCUUGUUCUUCGAUUUUGGAGAAAAAGAGAACCUUCAAGUACAGUGUGUGCUGUCCAUACCACUUGGAUGCGGCCUUCGCUCAAGUGCUGUUGGGGCCAUAA